rnacentral:rRNA from 1 species
CUGGGGAGUGAUAAGCGAUUAUGACGAACUCAUGGAUCCCACACUGCCUAGAAAAACUUCUAGCGAGACGAAAUCCGCCCGUACCGUANACCGACACAGGUAGGCGGGGAGAGAAUCCUAAGGUGCGCGGGAAAACCCUCGUUAAGGAACUCGGCAAAUUGCAUCCGUAACUUCGGGAGAAGGAUGGCCCUGAGUAGGCGAAGUGCAGAAACGCACAGAACAAAAAAGGGUGGCAGAAAAGAGGCCCAAGCAACUGUUUACCAAAAACACAGGUGCCUGCGAAAGCGAAAGCUGAAGUAUAGGUGCUGACGCCUGCCCGGUGCUGGAAGGUUAAGGAGAGAGGUUAGCGCAAGCGAAGCUUUGAACUGAAGCCCCAGUGAACGGCGGCCGUAACUAAAACGGUCCUAAGGUAGCGAAAUUCCUUGUCGGGUAAGUUCCGACCCGCAUGAAAGGCGUAAUGAUUUGGGCGCUGUCUCAACGAGGGGCCCGGUGAAAUUGAAAUACCUGUGAAGAUGCAGGUUACCCGCGACUGGACAGAAAGACCCCAUGGAGCUUUACUGCAGCUUGAGAUUGAAUCCCGGUGGCAGACGCACAGGAUAGGUGGGAGGCUUUGAGAUAGUGACUUUGGUUGCUAUGGAGCCGACGUUGGGAUACCACCCUUCUGUUGCUGGGAUUCUAACGCGAAGAUUAACAACCUUGCGGACCAUCUCAGGUAGGCGGUUUGACUGGGGCGGUCGCCUCCGAAAGAGUAACGGAGGCGCCCAAAGGUUCCCUCAGGCCGGACAGAAACCGGCCGAAGAGUGCAAAGGCAGAAGGGAGCUUGACUGCGAGACAGACAAGUCGAGCAGAGACGAAAGUCGGGCUUAGUGAUCCGGUGGUACUGCGUGGAAAGGCCAUCGCUCAACGGAUAAAAGCUACCCUGGGGAUAACAGGCUAAUCUCUCCCAAGAGUUCAUAUCGACGGGGAGGUUUGGCACCUCGAUGUCGGCUCAUCACAUCCUGGAGCUGGAGUAGGUUCCAAGGGUUGGGCUGUUCGCCCAUUAAAGUGGUACGCGAGCUGGGUUCAAAACGUCGUGAGACAGUUUGGUUCAUAUCCAUCGCGGGCGCAAGAAGUUUGAGGGAGGCUGCUCCUAGUACGAGAGGACCGGAGUGGACGGAUCAACGGUGUACCAGUUGUCACGCCAGUGGCACGGCUGGAAAGCCGCAUCCGGAAAGGAUAAACGCUGAAAGCAUCUAAGCGUGAAGCCCGUCCCAAGAUGAGACUUCUCAUCAGCAAUGAGUAAGACCCCUUAAAGACGAUGAGGUUGAUAGGCUGUGAGUGGAAGAGCCGCGAGGCUUGGAGCGACGCAGUACUAAUAGGUCGAGGUCUUAACUUA